AAACCAUGCAUAUGACAUUUCCUAAGCAAUUCCUUAAAUAUUUCCCAGGUUUCGUACAAUGUUUCAUCCUUUGAUUGCCGAAAAAUUGUUAUCUCAUUUCUUAGCUU
rfam:Gossypium hirsutum cultivar TM-1 chromosome 9, whole genome shotgun sequence